AAAUUGAAGAGUUUGAUCAUGGCUCAGAUUGAACGCUGGCGGCAGGCCUAACACAUGCAAGUCGAGCGGAAACGAGUUGUCAGAACCUUCGGGGGACGAUAACGGCGUCGAGCGGCGGACGGGUGAGUAAUGCCUAGGAAAUUGCCCUGAUGUGGGGGAUAACCAUUGGAAACGAUGGCUAAUACCGCAUGAUGCCUACGGGCCAAAGAGGGGGACCUUCGGGCCUCUC
rnacentral:rRNA from 3 species